rnacentral:rRNA from 1 species
CCUACGGGUGGCAGCAGUAAGGGAUAUUGGUCAAUGGGGGAGACCCUGAACCAGCAACGCAGCGUGAGGGAAGACGGUUUUAGGAUUGUAAACCUCUGUUCUUUGUGAAGAUGAUUAAGGUAGGAGAGGAGGUAGCUCCGGCCAACUACGUGCCAGCAGCCGCGGUAAUACGUAGGGAGCGAGCGUUGUCCGGAUUUACUGGGUGUAAAGGGGGCGUAGGCGGCUUGGCAAGUCAGUAGUGAAAUCCAUGGGCUAAACCGAUAAACUGCUAUUGAAACUGUCGAGCUUGAGUGAAGUAGAGGUAGGCGGAAUUCCUGGUGUAGCGGUGAAAUGCGUAGAGAUCGGGAAGAACACCAGUGGCGAAGGCGGCCUACUGGGCUUUAACUGACGCUGAGGCACGAAAGCGUGGGUAGCAAACAGGAUUAGAUACCCGGGUAGUC